UCUAAUAUGGCAGAAAUUAAGUGCAAUGAAUUUAAACUUCAUAAAUAAAGUUAGUUAUACUUUUUUUAGAA
rnacentral:tRNA from 1 species